rnacentral:rRNA from 1 species
GCGCAGCAGGCGCGAAAACUUUACAAUGUGCGAAAGCACGAUAAGGGAACUCUGAGUGCCUCCUAAGGAGGCUGUUCAGGUGUCUAAAAGCACCUGAAGGAAGGGCUGGGUAAGACCGGUGCCAGCCGCCGCGGUAACACCGGCAGCCCAAGUGGUAGCCACGUUUAUUGGGUCUAAAGCGUCCGUAGCCGGCUGGGUAAGUUCCUUGGGAAAUUUGGCUGCUUAACAGUCAAGCUUUCAGGGAAUACUGCCCGGCUUGGGACCGGGAGAGGUCAGAGGUACUCCAGGGGUAGGGGUGAAAUCCAUUAAUCCUUGGGGGACCACCGGUAGCGAAGGCGUCUGACCAGACCGGGUCCGACGGUGAGGGACGAAGGCUAGGGGCGCGAACCGGAUUAGAUACCCCUGUAG